rnacentral:rRNA from 1 species
CCUAGGGGGGGCAGCAGUGGGGAAUAUUGGACAAUGGGCGAAAGCCUGAUCCAGCCAUGCCGCGUGUGUGAAGAAGGCCUUCGGGUUGUAAAGCACUUUCAGUGGGGAAGAAAGCCUUGGGGCUAAUACCCUCGAGGAAGGACAUCACCCACAGAAGAAGCACCGGCUAACUCCGUGCCAGCAGCCGCGGUAAUACGGAGGGUGCGAGCGUUAAUCGGAAUUACUGGGCGUAAAGCGCGCGUAGGCGGUCUGAUAAGCCGGUUGUGAAAGCCCCGGGCUCAACCUGGGAACGGCAUCCGGAACUGUCAGGCUAGAGUGCAGGAGAGGAAGGUAGAAUUCCCGGUGUAGCGGUGAAAUGCGUAGAGAUCGGGAGGAAUACCAGUGGCGAAGGCGGCCUUCUGGACUGACACUGACGCUGAGGUGCGAAAGCGUGGGUAGCAAACAGGAUUAGAUCCCCCGGUAGUC